rnacentral:rRNA from 1 species
AGGGCGGGACACGUGUUAUCCUGUCUGAAUAUGGGGGGACCAUCCUCCAAGGCUAAAUACUCCUGACUGACCGAUAGUGAACCAGUACCGUGAGGGAAAGGCGAAAAGAACCCCUGUGAGGGGAGUGAAAUAGAACCUGAAACCGUGUACGUACAAGCAGUAGGAGCACCUUCGUGGUGUGACUGCGUACCUUUUGUAUAAUGGGUCAGCGACUUAUAUUCAGUGGCAAGGUUAACCAUCUAGGGGAGCCGUAGGGAAACCGAGUCUUAACUGGGCGCCAUAGUCUCUGGAUAUAGACCCGAAACCGAGUGAUCUAGCCAUGGGCAGGUUGAAGGUUGAGUAACAUCAACUGGAGGACCGAACCGACUAAUGUUGAAAAAUUAGCGGAUGACUUGUGGCUAGGGGUGAAAGGCCAAUCAAACUCGGAGAUAGCUGGUUCUCCCCGAAAGCUAUUUAGGUAGCGCCUCGGACGAAUACUACUGGGGGUAGAGCACUGUUAAGGCUAGGGGGUCAUCCCGACUUACCAACCCUUUGCAAACUCCGAAUACCAGUAAGUACUAUCCGGGAGACACACGGCGGGUGCUAACGUCCGUCGUGGAGAGGGAAACAACCCAGACCGCCAGCUAAGGUCCCAAAUUACAGCUAAGUGGGAAACGAUGUGGGAAGGCUUAGACAGCUAGGAUGUUGGCUUAGAAGCAGCCAUCAUUUAAAGAAAGCGUAAUAGCUCACUAGUCGAGUCGGCCUGCGCGGAAGAUGUAACGGGGCUAAGUUGUAAACCGAAGCUGCGGCAAUGUUCUUUGAACAUUGGGUAGGGGAGCGUUCUGUAAGCCGUUGAAGGUGUGUUGUAAAGCAUGCUGGAGGUAUCAGAAGUGCGAAUGCUGACAUGAGUAACGACAAGGGGGGUGAAAAACCUCCCCGCCGGAAGACCAAGGGUUCCUGUCCAACGUUAAUCGGGGCAGGGUA